UACGUAGGGGGCAAGCGUUGUCCGGAAUCAUUGGGCGUAAAGCGCGCGUAGGCGGCCCGGUAAGUCCGCUGUAAAAGUCCAGGGCUCAACCCUGGAAAGCCGGUGGAUACUGUCGGGCUAGAGUCCGGAAGAGGCGAGUGGAAUUCCUGGUGUAGCAGUGAAAUGCGUAGAGAUCGGGAGGAACAUCAGUUGCGAAGGCGGCUCUCUGGACCAGCACUGACACUGAGGCACGAAAGCGUGGGGAGCAAACAGG
rnacentral:rRNA from 1 species